UACGUAGGGUGCGAGCGUUGUCCGGAAUUACUGGGCGUAAAGAGCUCGUAGGUGGUUUGUCGCGUUGUCCGUGAAAACUCACAGCUCAACUGUGGGCGUGCGGGCGAUACGGGCAGACUGGAGUACUGCAGGGGAGACUGGAAUUCCUGGUGUAGCGGUGGAAUGCGCAGAUAUCAGGAGGAACACCGGUGGCGAAGGCGGGUCUCUGGGCAGUAACUGACGCUGAGGAGCGAAAGCGUGGGGAUCAAACAGG
rnacentral:rRNA from 1 species